rnacentral:rRNA from 1 species
GAUGAACGCUAGCGGCAGGCUUAAUACAUGCAAGUCGAGGGGCAUCGGGAGUAGCAAUACUUGCCGGCGACCGGCGCACGGGUGCGUAACGCGUAUGCAAUCUACCUUCAACAGGUGAAUAACCCGGAGAAAUUCGGACUAAUACACCGUAGUGUUGUUUUGAGGCAUCUCAGAAUAAUUAAAGAUUUAUCGGUUGAAGAUGAGCAUGCGUAUGAUUAGCUAGUUGGUAAGGUAACGGCUUACAAAGGCAACGAUCAUUAGGGGUUCUGAGAGGAUGAUCCCCCACACUGGUACUGAGACACGGACCAGACUCAUACGGGAGGCAGCAGUAGGGAAUAUUGGGCAAUGGACGCGAGUCUGACCCAGCCAUGCCGCGUGCAGGAAGACGGCCUUAUGGGUUGUAAACUGCUUUUAUACAGGAGUAACACCAAUUACGUGUAGUUGGAUGCAAGUACUGUAAGAAUAAGGAUCGGCUAACUCCGUGCCAGCAGCCGCAGUAACAC